CGGGAGGAAGGUGGGGAUGACGUCAAAUCAUCAUGCCCCUUAUGUCUAGGGCUACACACGUGCUACAAUGGCUGGUACAGAGAGAUGCUAAACCGUGAGGUGGAGCCAAACUUUAAAACCAGUCUCAGUUCGGAUUGUAGGCUGAAACUCGCCUACAUGAAGCUGGAGUUGCUAGUAAUCGCGAAUCAGAAUGUCGCGGUGAAUACGUUCCCGGGCCUUGUACACACCGCCCGUCACACCAUGAGAGUUGGCAAUACCCAAAGUUCGUGAGCUAACGCGCAAGCGAGGCAGCGACCUAAGGUAGGGUCAGCGAUUGGGGUGAAGUCGUAACAAGGUAGCCGUAGGAGAACCUGCGGCUGGAUCACCUCCUUU
rnacentral:rRNA from 1 species